rnacentral:rRNA from 1 species
CUGCGAACGGCUCAUUAAAUCAGUUAUCGUUUAUUUGAUAGUACCUUACUACUUGGAUAACCGUGGUAAUUCUAGAGCUAAUACAUGCUAAAAAUCCCAACCUCUGGAAGGGAUGUAUUUAUUAGAUAAAAAACCAAUGCCUUCGGGCUUCUUGGUGAUUCAUGAUAACUUCACGAAUCGCAUGGCCUUGUGCCGGCGAUGGUUCAUUCAAAUUUCUGCCCUAUCAACUUUCGAUGGUAGGAUAGUGGCCUACCAUGGUUUCAACGGGUAACGGGGAAUUAGGGUUCGAUUCCGGAGAGGGAGCCUGAGAAACGGCUACCACAUCCAAGGAAGGCAGCAGGCGCGCAAAUUACCCAAUCCCGACACGGGGAGGUAGUGACAAUAAAUACUGAUACAGGGCCCUUUCGGGUCUUGUAAUUGGAAUGAGUACAAUUUAAAUCCUUUAACGAGGAACAAUUGGAGGGCAAGUCUGGUGCCAGCAGCCGCGGUAAUUCCAGCUCCAAUAGCGUAUAUUAAAGUUGUUGCAGUUAAAAAGCUCGUAGUUGAACCUUGGAUCUGGGUGACUGGUCUGCCGUACCUGGCAUGUACUGGAAACCCGGGUCUUUCCUUCUGGAGAACCGCAUGCCCUUUACUGGGUGUGUCUGGGGAACCAGGACUUUUACUUUGAAAAAAUUAGAGUGUUCAAAGCAGGCAUUUGCUCGAAUACAUUAGCAUGGAAUAAUAGAAUAGGACGUGCGGUUCUAUUUUGUUGGUUUCUAGGACCGCCGUAAUGAUUAAUA